rnacentral:rRNA from 1 species
AUUGAACGCUGGCGGCAGGCCUAACACAUGCAAGUCGAGCGAGUGGCGGACGGGUGAGUAAUGUAUGGGGAUAUGCCUGAUGGAGGGGGAUAACUACUGGAAACGGUAGAUAAUACCGAAUACCCUAAGAAGUACCCAGAUGGGAUUAGCUAGUAGGUGGGGUAACGGCGUACACAGGCGACGAUCCCUAGCUGGUCUGCGAGGAUGAUCAGCCACACGGGGACUGAGACACGGUCCAGACGCAUACGGGAGGCAGCAGUGGGGAAUAUUGCACAAUGGGCGCAAGCCUGAUGCAGCCAUGCCGCGUGUAUGAAGAAGGCCUUCGGGUUGUAAAGUACUUUCAGUGGGGAGGCGUUACCCGCAGAAGAAGCACCGGCUAACUCCGUGCCAGCAGCCGCGGUAAUAC